AUUGAACGCUGGCGGCAGGCCUAACACAUGCAAGUCGAACGAGUGGCGGACGGGUGCGUAAUGUCUGGGAAACUGCCCCAUGGCGGGGGAUAAUUCCUGGAAACGGUAGCUAAUACCGCAUACUACCCGUUCUGCCCUGAUGGGAUUAACUGGUUGGUGGGGUAACGGCUCACAAAGGCUAUGAUCCCUAGCUGGUCUGAGAGGAUGACCAGCCACACUGGAACGGAGACACGGUCCAGACUCCUACGGGAGGCAGCAGUGGGGAAUAUUGCACAAUGGGCGCAAGCCUGAUGCAGCCAUGCCGCGUGUAUGAAGAAGGCCUUCGGGUUGUAAAGUACUUUCAGCGGGGAGGCGUUACCCGCAGAAGAAGCACCGGCUAACUCCGUGCCAGCAGCCGCGGUAAUAC
rnacentral:rRNA from 1 species